CUCCUGUGACCUGUUUCUGUCUUGCUGGUUUUUUGUGGAUAUCUUUUUUCUUUUUUUUCUUUUCUUUUCUUUUCUUUCUUAAGUUUAUUUAAGUAUUUUGAGAGAGAGCGCGCGCCCAAGUGGGGAAGAGGCAGAGAGAGAAAUCCCAAGCAGGUUCUGCACUGACCCCUGCCCCCACCCCCUCGGGAGCCCAAAUCAGGACCUCACAAACCAUGAGAUCAUGACCUGAGCAGAAGUAGGACUCUAAACCGACCUGAGCCACUCAGGCGCCCCUCAGUGUGGCUUUCUUUUAAUUUAUUCUAUUUGAGAUUCCUUGAAAUUCUUGGACCUGGUCCUUGGAGCCUUCCCAUUGUUUUGGAAAUUCUGUUAUUCUCUCUUCAAAAAAUUCCAUUUGUUUCAGCCUCAACACAGGCAGCAGAGAAAAGGAUUGGAAAUGCUGACAUGUUGCCUGGUUCCCUCAAAUAAUAAUAUGAUGAUGAUGAUUUUGUAAGAGCCAACGCCAUCAACGUUGUUGGAGCGGGUUCUCAGGUAAGCUGUCCGGUAAGUCCUAUAAUGUCAUCACUUCUCACAGUACAGUGAGGACAGUACUAUUAUCACUCCUAUAUUAUAAAUGGAGAAACUGAGGCAGAGACAUGUACUGACUUGCUCGUGGUCACAUGACUAGUCGUCGAGGAGCUCUGUGAAGCCACCCUCUUGUCUAGCUUCCUCCCUGAAGGAGAAGCCAGAACAAGGGCUUGCAGCUCAAGAGCAGGGGGAAAAGGUUACGAACAAGGGAUCUUGGAGGGGGAUUCGGGCAUCCCCACUCAGAAGCCAGGUGGCUUGGGACAGGUAACAUCACUCUCUAUCACUUUCUCUCAUUUUAUUUAUUUUUAAUGUUUUAUUUAUUUUUGAGAGAGAGAAAGACAGUGUGAGCAGGGGAGGGUCAGAGACAGAGGGAGACACAGAAUCUGAAGCAGGCUCCAAGCUCCGAGUUAGCUGUCAGCACAGAGCCCGAUGCGGGGCUUGAACCCACGAACCAUGAGAUCAUGACCCGAGCCAAAGUCGGAUGCCCAACUGACUGAGCCACCCAGGCGCCCCACUUUCUCCCAUUUUAAAUUGGGGCAGAGGGUCAUUAUGAUGGGAUACACAGACCAGCACACU
rnacentral:lncRNA from 1 species